AUUCCAGCUCCAAUAGCGUAUAUUAAAGUUGUUGCGGUUAAAAAGCUCGUAGUUGGAUUUCUGCCGAGGAUGACCGGUCCGCCCUGUGGGUGUGCAUCUGGCUCAGCCUUGGCAUCUUCCUGAAGAACGUAGCUGCACUUGACUGUGUGGUGCGGUAUUUAGGACAUUUACUUUGAGGAAAUUAGAGUGUUUCAAGCAAGCGCACGCUUUGAAUACAUUAGCAUGGAAUAAUAAGAUAAGCUUUAGUUGCUAUUUUGUUGGUUUGCACAAUUAAAGAAUGAUUAACAGGGACAGUUGGGGGUAUUCAUAUUUACAUGUCAGAGGUGAAAUUCUUGGAUUUUGGAAAGAUGAACGACUGCGAAGGCAUUUACCAAGGAUGUUUUCAUCG
rnacentral:rRNA from 1 species